rnacentral:rRNA from 1 species
CAGCAGCCGCGGGAAUACGUAGGGUGCAAGCGUUAAUCGGAAUUACUGGGCGUAAAGCGUGCGCAGGCGGUUAUAUAAGACAGAUGUGAAAUCCCCGGGCUCAACCUGGGAACUGCAUUUGUGACUGUAUAGCUAGAGUACGGCAGAGGGGGAUGGAAUUCCGCGUGUAGCAGUGAAAUGCGUAGAUAUGCGGAGGAACACCGAUGGCGAAGGCAAUCCCCUGGGCCUGUACUGACGCUCAUGCACGAAAGCGUGGGGAGCAAACAGGAUUAGAUACCCGCGUAGUCCCUGUCCUUAUACA